rnacentral:rRNA from 1 species
CAGUCGUACCUGCGGACAAUCAGCUUUUUGAGUGUGAUUAUGUGGAUUGUGAGGAGUUUAAUCACCCUCAUGUUUUACGUAUUCGUGCUCUUGGGUGUACUUGCCCGUGUGGUAGGUUAACAUCAAUUUUGGUGGUCAUAAAAUGACUGGAGGAAUGUAGCUUUGGUCUCGUAUCGAAGUGUUAUAGACUCUGGUAGAUGUGACGAUUGGGGAUUGGGGGAUUGGCGACGGACUACCCUUCGGGGCUACCCGUCUGAUCUCUGAAGGUUGCUCCGGUACCGUAAAGCGUGCUUACGGUCAGUCGAAAGUGAUUUUACAAAAGGUUAG